rnacentral:tRNA from 1 species
GCCCGGCUAGCUCAGUCGGUAGAGCAUGAGACUUUUAAUCUCAGGGUCGUGGGUUCGAGCCCCAUGUUGGGCA